rnacentral:lncRNA from 10 species
CGUCCCACUUAACGAGAAACACCCACAGAGAAUUUCUUAAAGACUUGAGAAGAGACUUCUCAGUUUGCUGUUUGAUUUAUCCUUCUCAUCACAAGUCACGGACGGAGUCUCUCUGUUGCCCAUGCAAUUCUUCUGCCUCAGCCUCCUAAGUAGCUGGGACUACAGGUGCACGCCCCCAUGCCGAGCUAAGUUUUGUUUUGUUUUGUUUUGUUUUGUUUUGUUUUGUUUUGUUUUUGACAGAGUCUUGCACUGUUGCCAGGCUGGAGUGCAGUGGCGUAAUCUCGGCUCAAUGCAACCUCUGCCUCCUGGGUUCAAGCGAUUCUCCUGCCUCUGCUUCCCAAGUAGCGGGGACUACAGGCACAGGCCACCAUGCCCAGCUAAUUUUUUUAUUUUUAGUAGAGACAGAGUUUCACCAUGUUGGCCAGGAUGGUCUCUAUCUCUUGUCCUCGUGAUCUGCCUGCUUCGGCCUCCCAAAGUGCUGGGAUUACAGACGUGAGCCACCAUGCUCGGCCUGUUUUAAAUUUCUUUUUACAAAAAUAAACAUAUGACAUAGUUUUGUAAUCUUCUUUGUCUCUUGAAGAAUUAUGUAGUUUAAACAUGUGCCCGUGUCAAUAAAUUCAGAUCUGCAUUUAUUAUAUGGCACUCUUGUAACUAAUUUAACUGAUCUCCUUUUGUUAAGCAUUUAGAUGGUUUCCAAUUUUUCAAAACUAUGAACAAUAGCAAAGUAAACUUUC